rnacentral:lncRNA from 1 species
GAGUGUGAGAGCGAGAACAGCCCCGCAGGUCCCGAGGCGCUGGCUGGGGACAAUGCCGCGGAAAGUUCCCAGUCCCCAGCCGCAGAUCUGCAGAAUUGAAAUGAAAUGUUUUGAGCUCUUCAAGCUGACUCGUCAGAAUCCUGGAGCCUUUUAAAAAAUGACGAAUUGGAAGGAAAAAUUACUUUAUCAAUAACCAGGCUCCACCAGGAUUGACCUAGAUGGUUGUUCCUGGCACUUGUCAUUCUCAGCAAGCACAGCUCAGAGAACAAAUACAAAAGACCCAAAGUGCAUUGCAUCUUUUAUGGAAGUGCCCAAUGUGGAAAUCAUAGAUUUCAAGGAAGGAACAAGAAAAUUGAUGAAACAAGUUCAAAAGAAAGGUACCUGUGCCUCAUCAUUCCUAAAGAACACUGAUCAAUGAUCCCAGAAGUAUGCCAUGUUCUCUUAAUUCAUCAGAGACUGAAAGCAAAGGAAAAUCAAGAAAUAAGCUUGGCCAAUUUGAUGUCAAUGGAAAUGCGUGAGAUUUUUAUUCAGCAUUCACACCUGAGCAAUGCUUUUGGUCAUGAUGUCAUACUAAGAAGAAACCACCUGAGAUGAGACUGUUAGAUGUUCAGAGCAAACAAAAACAAAAACAGACCAACAAAAAAAACCCAAAACAAAACAGAAGUUUCUGAAGGACAGCAGAAAUGGCUUUGCAGGACCACAACAACCACUCCCAGUCAUGAUGGAGAGAAGUGUUCAAUACCCACAGAUCCUGAACGUUGAGCUGAUUAUACUAACUAGAUGGGACUUAGUUUUGUCUACCGUGGGGUGAGCGUAUACUACCUGAGGGAACAGGUUCUCUAUGGUGAAGAUGGCAACUUGCUGACUCAGUCUCAGAAUGCGUUAAAUCCACAUAUUCUGAAGUCCUCAGCAGAGUGAAACUUCAUAUAUAAUAUUUUCUACAGACAAAGUUACCAUCAAUAUCAACAGCAACAACACGGCAACAGCCAACAUUUACAGAACUUUUAUUAAGUUCCAGUCACCGUAUGUGCCUGCUUCCCCUUUGCCUUCCACCAUCAUUAUAAGUUUCCUGAGGCCACCACUGCCAUGCUUCCUGUACAGACUGUGGGACUCCAUGUAAGAUGUUCCUGCUUCCCCUUUGCCUUCUACCAUGAUUGUAACUUUCCUGAGGCCUUCCCAGCCAUG